GUAUUGAUUGCGGGUUAGCGCAUAUAUGAGGUCAUUCUACACUUUUAAAAGGGGGGGUUUGUGUGAAAACGCGAGCCCCCUCCGAGAUGAUCCCGAAGGGUGCCCACGCGGUGAUGCACAAAGGGUGAGGUGGAUUAUUAUGUGAGAGGACACACUCUGGCGUGCACGACUCUUGUGGUAAAAGUCAGCGACAGCCCUCGCAUGCCUCACACAUUUUGUACGAUAAUGAUCCUUCCGCAGGUUCACCUACGGAAA
rnacentral:misc_RNA from 1 species